rnacentral:rRNA from 1 species
CACGUAGGGUGCGAGCGUUGUCCGGAAUUAUUGGGCGUAAAGAGCUCGUAGGCGGUGUGUCGCGUCGGCCGUGAAAACCUGCAGCUUAACUGUGGGCUUGCGGUCGAUACGGGCAUCACUGGAGUUCGGCAGGGGAGACUGGAAUUCCUGGUGUAGCGGUGAAAUGCGCAGAUAUCAGGAGGAACACCGGUGGCGAAGGCGGGUCUCUGGGCCGGAUAACUGAC